GCAGCCUUGCCUUCCCCUGGCUCCCGACUGGCCUCUAACGUCCAGACGCUUCUCCACUCCGAGCCCUCGGACCGAACGCGGCAGAGACCCCACGAAGGGAAACAAUGCGAGAGGAGGCUGCGGCUCCGGACCAAGUCACCGAGAGGAAGGAGAGCCUGGAUCCUCUCCCCUCCCUCCGCUCUUCCUUCCCCUUCUCUUCCUUCCUCCCGGCUGCGUCUCCUUGGCUCCACCCCUUCUCCUCAUCAAUUCCUCCCACACUUCCCUGCUCUCCCUGGCUUUUCACUGGAGGGUCCCUUCUCCCAGGGAGGAGCAGAUGCAGAGCCCCAUUGUCUCCCCCCCGCCCCCCACUCACACACACAGGACCUGCCACUCUGCACCCCUCCCCCCAGCCCGCAGGCCUGGGCCUUUAGACACUGGAGCCCCAAGGCCACUGCCCCUCACCCCACCCUAAACCAGCUCCCGGUGCUGUGAGCAAUGACUCCAGUCACUCAGAACAUGAUUUGUUUCUGACGGGGAGUGAGAAAACAGUAGCCUGGGACUUGCUUUAGCAAGGAGGACUCGGUGGUUUUUAAUGUCACCGCACUGAGCCCUGGAUGACCCCAGAGCAUCCAUCCCCCACCCAUUCUGCCCUCUUAAUGGGGUGUCCAGGGAGCCACAUUUCUGUCAUCUUAGAUUCUGCUUAGUGCACCUAAAUUAUUUCCUCCAAAUAAAACAAACAGCACUGAU